GCAGAAUCAAGGCGCCGCCCCACCUGCCCGGCCCGGGUUGCGUUUGGGAACCUAAGUACUACAAUCCUACGUGCAAGGAAAGACAGGUCGCCGCCGGGGCCUUCUCCCAUUCCGCUCCGGACGCAGCCACCGCGCCGAUCUCCAACACUGUCUUUUUCAGACUUGAAACUAACCUGUACACAUGAGAAGUGACUCCUUACCAACCACAAUAUGUCAAGAAAGAAAAAAAGACCCGAUAGAAAUGUUUCAUUCUGGACAGCUGGUAAAAGUCUGUGCCCCGAUGGUUCGAUAUUCAAAGUUAGCUUUUAGAACAUUAGUAAGAAAAUACUCUUGUGACCUGUGUUACACACCAAUGAUAAUUGCUGCUGAUUUUGUCAGAUCUAUAAAAGCCAGAGACAGUGAAUUUACCACAAACCAAGGUGAUUGCCCGUUGAUUGUUCAGUUUGCUGCUAAUGAUGCAAGACUUUUAUCUGAUGCUGCCCUGCUAGUCUGUCCCUAUGCAAAUGGAAUAGAUAUUAACUGUGGUUGCCCUCAGAGGUGGGCGAUGGCGGACGGUUAUGGAGCUUGCUUGAUCAACAAGCCAGAGCUUGUUCACGAUAUGGUGAGACAAGUGAGAAAUCGGGUGGAAAGCCCAAGGUUUUCAGUUUCCAUUAAGAUAAGGAUGCGGAUGACUCUUAAUCUCUCAAAGCCACAAAGUAAAAGCAGUGGGGAAAGAAAAAGACAUUUCUCACCAUAUUGUUUCCAAUAGUCAAAGUUCUAAAAGAACUAAAGCCAAGAUCUUGAAUGGGAACCAAUCACAGAACAAAAUCUUAUUAACAACGGCAUGAAUUGAUAAUAAAUACAGCAGAUGAAGUGUCUUAAUUAAUGUUGCAUUAAAAAUCUGUGUGCUAUACACAGCUGCAAUUUUGAAAUUAUAGGAUCCACGAUGACCUGGCAAGAACCAUAGAUCUUUGCCGGAAGGCUGAAGCAACAGGAGUGUCCUGGAUUACAGUUCAUGGAAGGACAGUUGAAGAAAGACACCAGCCAGUCCACUACGAUGCCAUUAAAAUGAUAAAGGAAAAUGUGUCUAUACCCAUAGUUGCUAAUGGAGACAUAAGAAGCUUAAAAGAAGCAGAAAAUGUGUGGCAGAUGACUGGGACAGAUGGUGUGAUGGUUGCAAGAGGACUUUUAACAAACCCAGCUAUGUUUGCUGGAUAUGAAGAAACCCCACUGAAAUGUAUCUGGGACUGGGUUGACAUCUCUCUUGAACUUGGAACUCCUUUUAUGUGCUUCCAUCAGCAUCUGAUGUACAUGAUGGAAAAGAUAACGUCAAGGCAGGAGAAGAGAGUAUUUAAUGCCUUGUCAAGCACAUCAGCAGUCCUGGACUACCUUACGGACCAUUAUGGUGAUGAGUCGCUUUCUAAAUCUUUGUAGUAGGUACUUCUUACCUACAUGGAACCACAUGAGGUUACAGCCUCGUAUUUCUUUUAAGUCUAUGGCUUUUAACAUCAGUACAACAGCAAUCCCUGGGGCCAGACAUGGCGGCACAUGUCUUUUAUCCAGCUACUCAGAAAACUAAAGGAAGAGGUUUGGAAAUUCUAGGCCAGCAAAACUUUAUCUGAAAGAAUAAACGGAACUUUUCCAUAACCAAGAACUCAAACCUGGGACUGUAGAGAUGGCUCACCAGUUAAAACCUCGCUGCUCUUCUACAGGACCUGAGCUCCAGUUCCAGGGGAUUCAACAGGCUUUUCAGGCCUCCUCAGGCACCAGCUAAGCACAAUGUGUACAGACAGCCAUGCAAGCAAAACAUUCAUACACAUAAAACUAGCAACAAUGGCCACAAAAAUCCGCCCGGUACUCCGUCCUCAUGGAUUCAGUAGAUUGUGAGCAGACCCAGAAGUUGUAAAGAACUCCGGAGUUUUGACCAUCCAAUAAUCCCAGAUCAAAUAUUGAAAACCUCUGCUUCUAAUCUUUAUGGGUGUGCGGGAUGGGUGGGGAUGGGAGUUUUACUAAAGGUAUUCUGUUUUUAAGUGUUUUAAAUAAAACUUUUCUAAUAGCAA